rnacentral:tRNA from 1 species
CGGGUAGUAGCGCAGUUUGGUAGCGCACCUGCCUUGGGAGCAGGGGGCCGCUGGUUCAAAUCCAGUCUGCCCGACCA